rnacentral:rRNA from 1 species
ACGCUCGACACCUACGGGAGGCUGCAGUAGGGAAUCUUCCACAAUGGACGCAAGUCUGAUGGAGCAACGCCGCGUGAGUGAAGAAGGUUUUCGGAUCGUAAAGCUCUGUUGUUGGUGAAGAAGGAUAGAGGUAGUAACUGGCCUUUAUUUGACGGUAAUCAACCAGAAAGUCACGGCUAACUACGUGCCGGNAGCCGCGGUAAUCUGAGCGGGCUGGCAAGGC